GAUCCUGGCUCAGGACGAACGCUGGCGGCGCGCCUAACACAUGCAAGUCGAACGAGCGAGAGAGAGUUUGCUUUCUCGAGCGAGUGGCGAACGGGUGAGUAACGCGUGAGGAACCUGCCUCAAAGAGGGGGACAACAGUUGGAAACGACUGCUAAUACCGCAUAAGCCCACGACCCGGCAUCGGGUAGAGGGAAAAGGAGCAAUCCGCUUUGAGAUGGCCUCGCGUCCGGUUAGCUAGUUGGUGAGG
rnacentral:rRNA from 1 species